GGAAUGGAAUGGUCUAGCAUGCGAGUCAUUGUAGUAAUACAAGGCAGACGGCUCAGUAACGCGUAGUCAACCUACCCUAAGGACGGGGAUAACCUCGGGAAACUGAGAAUAAUACCCGAUAGAACAUAGCUCCUGGAAUGGUUUAUGUUUCAAAUAAUUUAUUGCCCUAGGAUGGGACUGCGGCCUAUCAGUUUGUUGGUGAGGUAAUGGCCCACCAAGACUAUUACAGGUACGGGCUCUGAGAGGAGUGGCCCGGAGAUGGGUACUGAGACACGGACCCAGGCCCUAUGGGGCGCAGCAGGCGAGAAAACUUUGCAAUGUGCGAAAGCACGACAAGGUUAAUCCGAGUGGUUUCUGCUAAAGGAACCUUUUGUCAGUCCUGGAAACACUGAUGAAUAAGGGGUGGGCAAGUUCUGGUGUCAGCCGCCGCGGUAAAACCAGCACCUCAAGUGGUCAGGAUGAUUAUUGGGCCUAAAGCAUCCGUAGCCGGCUUUGUAAGUUUUCGGUUAAAUCCAUGCGCUCAACGUAUGGGCUGCCGGGAAUACUGCAAAGCUAGGGAGUGGGAGAGGUAGACGGUACUCGGUAGGAAGGGGUAAAAUCCUUUGAUCUAUUGAUGACCACCUGUGGCGAAGGCGGUCUACCAGAACACGUCCGACGGUGAGGGAUGAAAGCUGGGGGAGCAAACCGGAUUAGAUACCCGGGUAGUCCCAGCUGUAAACUAUGCAAACUCAGUGAUGCAUUGGCUUGAUGCCAAUGCAGUGCUGCAGGGAAGCCGUUAAGUUUGCCGCCUGGGGAAGUACGUACGCAAGUAUGGAACUUAAAGGAAUUGGCGGGGGAGCACCACAAAGGGUGAAGCCUGCGGUUCAAUUGGAGUCAACGCCGGG
rnacentral:rRNA from 1 species